AGCGAACGUUAGCGGCGGGCUUAACACAUGCAAGUCGCACGAGAAAAGGGCUUCGGCCCUGAGUAAAGUGGCGGACGGGUGAGUAACACGUGGAUAACCUGCCCUCCAGCGGGGGACAACAGUCCGAAAGGACUGCUAAUACCGCAUACGUCGGCGAGGUCGCAUGAUCUUGACGGGAAAGCCGGCCUCUGCAUGCAAGCUGGCACUGGAGGAGGGGUCCGCGGACCAUCCGCUAGUUGGUAGGGUAAUGGCCCACCAAGGCUUAGACGGGUAGCUGGUCUGAGAGGAGGAUCAGCCACACUGGGACUGAGACACGGCCCAGACGCCUACGGGAGGCAGCAGUGGGGAAUAUUGGGCAAUGGGCGCAAGCCUGACCCAGCCACUCCGCUUGAGUGAUGAAGGCCUUCGGGUCGUAAAGCUCUGUGGGGAGGGACGAACCUCCGCAGCCUAAUACGCUGCGGACUGACGGUACCUCCUUAGCAAGCACCGGCUAACUCCGUGCCAGCCGCCGCGGUAA
rnacentral:rRNA from 1 species